UUAAAAAACAGUGAGGCCGAUUUUUGUGAAGAGACGAAGACUAAGCGGUUGUGUCCGCGUUGCCGACCUCCAGCAGCAGUCGGCUUCUGCACGUAGAACCCGGGAGUAGGAGACUCAGAAUCGAAUCUCUUCUCCCUCCUCCCUCCUGUGAGAUUUUUUUGAUCUUCAGCUACAUUUUCGGCUUUGUGACAAACCUUAUCAUCAAACACAAUGGCCAGCAACGUUACCAACAAGACAGAUCCUCGCUCCAUGAACUCCCGUGUGUUCAUUGGGAAUCUCAACACUCUCGUGGUCAAGAAAUCUGAUGUGGAGGCAAUCUUUUCGAAGUAUGGCAAAAUUGUGGGCUGCUCUAUUCAUAAGGGCUUUGCCUUCGUUCAAUAUGUUAAUGAGAGAAAUGCCCGGGCUGCUGUAGCAGGAGAGGAUGGCAGAAUGAUUGCUGGCCAGGUUUUAGAUAUUAACCUGGCUGCAGAGCCAAAAGUGAACCGAGGAAAAGCAGGUGUGAAACGAUCUGCAGCGGAGAUGUACGGCUCCUCUUUUGACUUGGACUAUGACUUUCAACGGGAUUAUUAUGAUAGGAUGUACAGUUACCCAGCACGUGUACCUCCUCCUCCUCCUAUUGCUCGGGCUGUAGUGCCCUCGAAACGUCAGCGUGUAUCAGGAAACACCUCACGAAGGGGCAAAAGUGGCUUCAAUUCUAAGAGUGGACAGCGGGGAUCUUCCAAGAAAGGAGAUGACCUUCAGGCCAUUAAGAAGGAACUGACCCAGAUAAUACAAAAAGUGGAUUCUCUCCUGGAAAACCUGGAAAAAAUUGAAAAGGAACAGAGCAAACGAGCAGCUGGAGUUGAUCAAGGAUGACGAAAAAGAGGCUGAGGAAGGAGAGGAUGACAGAGACAGCGCCAAUGGCGAGGAUGACUCUUAAGCACAUAGUGGGGUUUAGAAAUCUUAUCCCAUUAUUUCUUUACCUAGGUGCUUGUCUAAGAUCAAAUUUUUCACCAGAUCCUCUCCCCUAGUAUCUUCAGCACAUGCUCACUGUUCUCCCCAUCCUUGUCUUUCCCAUGUUCAUUAAUUCAUGUUUCCCUGCGCCUAGUCCCAUUUUCACUUCCUUUUUGACGCUCCUAGUAGUUUUGUUAAGUCUUACCCUGUAAUUUUUGCUUUUAAUUUUGAUACCUCUUUAUGACUUAACAAUAAAAAGGAUGUAUGGUUUUUAUCAACUGUCUCCAAAACAAUCUCUUGUUAUGAAGGGAGUACAGUUCUUUUCAUUCAUACAUGUGUUCAGUGGUUGCUUCCCUAACUGCAAAGACAAUCUCAUUUAGUUGAAUAGCUCCUGAAAGCAGCUUUGAGUUAGAAGUAUGUGUGUUACACCCCAACAUUAGUGUGCUCUGUGGGGCAGUUCAACACAAAUGUAACGAUGUAUUUUUGUGAAUGAGAGUUGGCAUGUCAAAUGCAUCCUCUAGAAAAAUAGUGUUAUAGUCUUAAGAUUUGUUUUCUAAAGUUGAUACUGUGGGUUAUUUUUGUGAACAGCCUGAUGUUUGGGACCUUUUUUCUUCAAAAUAAGUCCUUAUUAAACCAGGAAUUUGGAGAAAAAAAAAAAAAA